GACGAACGCUGGCGGCGUGCCUAAUACAUGCAAGUCGAACGAGAGCGACCGGUGCUUGCACUGGUCAAUCUAGUGGCGAACGGGUGAGUAACACGUGGGUAACCUGCCCAUCAGAGGGGGAUAACAUCCGGAAACGGAUGCUAAAACCGCAUAGGUCUUCGAGCCGCAUGGCUUGAAGAGGAAAAGAGGCGCAAGCUUCUGCUGAUGGAUGGACCCGCGGUGCAUUAGCUAGUUGGUGAGGUGACGGCUCACCAAGGCCGUGAUGCAUAGCCGACCUGAGAGGGUGAUCGGCCACAUUGGGACUGAGACACGGCCCAACGGGUAGGGAAUCUUCCGCAAUGGACGCAAGUCUGACGGAGCAACGCCGCGUGAGUGAAGAAGGUUUUUCGGAUCGUAAAAACUCUGUUGUAGAGAAAGAAACAAAGUGCUAGAGUAAACU
rnacentral:rRNA from 1 species